CCGCGGUAAUACAGAGGGUGCGAGCGUUAAUCGGAAUUACUGGGCGUAAAGCGCACGUAGGCGGCUUGGCAUGUCGGGUGUGAAAUCCCCGGGCUCAACCUGGGAACUGCAUCCGAAACUGCCUUGCUAGAGUAUGGGAGAGGGAAGUGGAAUUUCCGGUGUAGCGGUGAAAUGCGUAGAUAUCGGAAGGAACAUCAGUGGCGAAGGCGACUUCCUGGACCAAUACUGACGCUCAGGUGCGAAAGCGUGG
rnacentral:rRNA from 1 species